GAUGAACGCUGGCGGCGUGCCUAAUACAUGCAAGUCGAGCGAACAGACGAGGAGCUUGCUCCUCUGACGUUAGCGGCGGACGGGUGAGUAACACGUGGAUAACCUACCUAUAAGACUGGGAUAACUUCGGGAAACCGGAGCUAAUACCGGAUAAUAUAUUGAACCGCAUGGUUCAAUAGUGAAAGACGGUUUUGCUGUCACUUAUAGAUGGAUCCGCGCCGCAUUAGCUAGUUGGUAAGGUAACGGCUUACCAAGGCAACGAUGCGUAACCGACCGGAGGGGGGGAGCGGCCACACUGGAACAGGAACACGGGCCAGACCCCUAAGGGAAGCAACAGGAGGGAAUCUUCCGCAAUGGGGGGAAGCCUGGCGGAACAACCGCGGGGGGGGUGAGGAAGGCCUCGGGUCGGAAAACCCUUUUAUUAGGGAAGAACAAAUGUGUAAGUAACUAUGCACGUCUUGACGGUACCUAAUCAGAAAGCCACGGCUAACUACGUG
rnacentral:rRNA from 1 species